rnacentral:rRNA from 1 species
UACGUAGGGUGCGAGCGUUAAUCGGAAUUACUGGGCGUAAAGCGUGCGCAGGCGGUUCGUUGUGUCGGUGGUGAAAUCCCCGGGCUCAACCCAGGAAGUGCACUCGAAACUGGCAGGCUUGAAUUUGGAAGAGGGUCGCGGAAUUCCCGGUGUAGAGGUGAAAUUCGUAGAUAUCGGGAGGAACACCAGUGGCGAAGGCGGCUCACUGGACAGGUCCUGACACUGAGACGCGAAAGCGUGGGUAGCAAACAGG